rnacentral:rRNA from 1 species
GAGUGUUCAAAGCAGGCAGAUCCAAUUUUCUGCCACCGAAUACAUUAGCAUGGGAUAAUGGAAUAGGACCCUGUCCUCCUAUUUUCAGUUGGUUUUGGCAGCGCGAGGACUAGGGUAAUGAUUAAUAGGGAUAGUUGGGGGCAUUAAUAUUUAAUUGUCAGAGGUGAAAUUCUUGGAUUUAUGAAAGAUUAACUUCUGCGAAAGCAUCUGCCAAGGAUGUUUUCAUUAAUCAAGAACGAAAGUUAGGGGAUCGAAGACGAUCAGAUACCGUCGUAGUCUUAACCAUAAACGAUGCCGACCAGCGAUUAGGAGACGUUGAAUACAAAACACCACCAUCGGUUGCGGUCGUCCUUGGCGUCUCGGUUUCGGCCGGGGCGCGGGGACGGUUUAGCCCGGUGGCACCGGUGAAUGACUCCUAGCAGCUUGUGAGAA